rnacentral:rRNA from 1 species
AUUGAACGCUGGCGGCAGGCUUAACACAUGCAAGUCGAGCGGGGGAAGGUAGCUUGCUACCGGACCUAGCGGCGGACGGGUGAGUAAUGCUUAGGAAUCUGCCUAUUAGUGGGGGACAACAUCUCGGAAGGGAUGCUAAUACCGCAUACGUCCUACGGGAGAAAGCAGAGGAUCUUCGGACCUUGCGCUAAUAGAUGAGCCUAAGUCGGAUUAGCUAGUUGGUGGGGUAAAGGCCUACCAAGGCGACGAUCUGUAGCGGGUCUGAGAGGAUGAUCCGCCACACUGGGACUGAGACACGGCCCAGACUCCUGCGGGAGGCAGCAGGGGGGAAUAUUGGACAAUGGGGGGAACCCUGAUCCAGCCAUGCCGCGUGUGUGAAGAAGGCCUUAUGGUUGUAAAGCACUUUAAGCGAGGAGGAGGCUACUCUAGUUAAUACCUAGGGAUAGUGGACGUUACUCGCAGAAUAGGCACCGGCUAACUCUGUGCCAGCAGCCGCCGUAA